ACUACGGGUGGCAGCAGUGAGGAAUAUUGGUCAAUGGACGCAAGUCUGAACCAGCCAUGCCGCGUGCAGGAAGACGGCUCUAUGAGUUGUAAACUGCUUUUGUACGAGGGUAAACGCAGAUACGCGUAUCUGUCUGAAAGUAUCGUACGAAUAAGGAUCGGCUAACUCCGUGCCAGCAGCCGCGGUAAUACGGAGGAUUCAAGCGUUAUCCGGAUUUAUUGGGUUUAAAGGGUGCGUAGGCGGUCGGAUAAGGUAGAGGUGAAAUCCCGAGGCUCAACUUCGGAAUUGCCUCUGAUACGGUGCGGAUAGAGAGUAGUUGCGGUAGGCGGAAUGUAUGGUGUAGGGGUGAAAUGCGUAGAGAUUAUACAGAACACCGAUUGCGAAGG
rnacentral:rRNA from 1 species